ACUCCUACGGGAGGCAGCAGUGGGGAAUAUUGGACAAUGGGCGAAAGCCUGAUCUAGCCAUGCCGCGUGUGUGAAGAAGGCCUUUUGGUUGUAAAGCACUUUAAGCGAGGAGGAGGCUACCGAGAUUAAUACUCUUGGAUAGUGGACGUUACUCGCAGAAUAAGCACCGGCUAACUCUGUGCCAGCAG
rnacentral:rRNA from 2 species